UACGUGGAGGGGCAAGCGUUGUCCGGAAUCAUUGGGCGUAAAGCGCGUGUAGGCGGCUCGGUAAGUCCGCUCUGAAAGUCCAGGGCUCAACCCUGGGAUGCGGGUGGAUACUGCCGAGCUCGAGUCCGGAAGAGGCGAGUGGAAUUCCUGGUGUAGCGGUGAAAUGCGCAGAUAUCAGGAAGAACACCCGUGGCGAAGGCGGCUCUCUGGGACGGUACUGACGCUGAGACGCGAAAGCGUGGGGAGCGAACAGG
rnacentral:rRNA from 1 species